GAUGAACGCUGGCGGCGUGCCUAAUACAUGCAAGUCGAGCGAACGGAUAAGGAGCUUGCUCCUUUGAAGUUAGCGGCGGACGGGUGAGUAACACGUGGGUAACCUACCUAUAAGACUGGAAUAACUUCGGGAAACCGGAGCUAAUGCCGGAUAACAUAUAGAACCGCAUGGUUCUAUAGUGAAAGAUGGUUUUGCUAUCACUUAUAGAUGGACCCGCGCCGUAUUAGCUAGUUGGUAAGGUAAUGGCUUACCAAGGCGACGAUACGUAGCCGACCUGAGAGGGUGAUCGGCCACACUGGAACUGAGACACGGUCCAGACUCCUACGGGAGGCAGCAGUAGGGAAUCUUCCGCAAUGGGCGAAAGCCUGACGGAGCAACGCCGCGUGAGUGAUGAAGGUUUUCGGAUCGUAAAACUCUGUUGUUAGGGAAGAACAAAUUUGUUAGUAACUGAACAAGUCUUGACGGUACCUCACCAGAAAGCCACGGCUAACUACGUGCCAGCCGCCGCAGUAA
rnacentral:rRNA from 1 species